GACGAACGCUGGCGGCGUGCUAAUACAUGCAAGUAGAACGCUGAAGGAGGAGCUUGCUUCUCUGGAUGAGUUGCGAACGGGUGAGUAACGCGUAGGUAACCUGCCUGGUAGCGGGGGAUAACUAUUGGAAACGAUAGCUAAUACCGCAUAAGAGUAGAUGUUGCAUGACAUUUGCUUAAAAGGUGCAAUUGCAUCACUACCAGAUGGACCUGCGUUGUAUUAGCUAGUUGGUGGGGUAACGGCUCACCAAGGCGACGAUACAUAGCCGACCUGAGAGGGUGAUCGGCCACACUGGGACUGAGACACGGCCCAGACUCCUACGGGAGGCAGCAGUAGGGAAUCUUCGGCAAUGGACGGAAGUCUGACCGAGCAACGCCGCGUGAGUGAAGAAGGUUUUCGGAUCGUAAAGCUCUGUUGUAAGAGAAGAACGAGUGUGAGAGUGGAAAGUUCACACUGUGACGGUAUCUUACCAGAAAGGGACGGCUAACUACGUGCCAGCAGCCGCGGUAAUACGUAGGUGGCAAGCGUUAUCCGGAUUUAUUGGGCGUAAAGAGAGUGCAGGCGGUUUUCUAAGUCUGAUGUGAAAGCCUUCGGCUUAACCGGAGAAGUGCAUCGGAAACUGGAUAACUUGAGUGCAGAAGAGGGUAGUGGAACUCCAUGUGUAGCGGUGGAAUGCGUAGAUAUAUGGAAGAACACCAGUGGCGAAGGCGGCUACCUGGUCUGCAACUGACGCUGAGACUCGAAAGCAUGGGUAGCGAACAGG
rnacentral:rRNA from 1 species